CUCCGCAUCUCCCUCCUCCAUGAAUGUGGCCACUUGCUGCCCCUUGCCUCUUCCCUUUCUACUCGUCUCAUGGACGACGAAGGAGAGAGCGACGGGGCACGAGCAUCCUCACCACAGCACAAAAGGGUACAUCCACCUUCUUAGUUGUGGUUAAGUGACGGCUUGCCGAAUUGGCGGCGGCGACGGUAGCCCUCGCUCCUCUCCCCCUUUCUCGGAAUCAUGGCCUCCUCUUUGCUCAAGCUCGUCGUACAUAUUGCACAAGUGAUUCAUUAGGGCGGCAUCAACGCAGGAGGCUCAGGGUGGCCGUAGCGGCCGCGAGGAGGUAUCCCAUGGAGUUCAUCAACCGGACGAGGGCAAGGGUGCCGAUUUUCCUCCCCCUACUUCCAAUCCCGGUGUGUCCACCAUCGACCAAAUCUUCACUACGCCAGGAAGAAGAUGCUGCUUCAGCUUCCGUUUCUAGCUCUGCUUGAGCUGCUUCGUCUGUUUCUCUUGAUGUGGGUGUCGGUCUUUUGAUAUCUCUUCUCUCACUUUCGGAGCACAGUUGGUCCUAAAUUUGAAAACCAACAAAGGUGACUUCUUCCUUAUUCACACGCCUUGAUGCACCUUUUUUCGUGUUCAAUCUCGCCUGAGAGCAGUGCAUCGAUACAACAGAGUUCUUAUUCUUACCCUUCAAAAGACCGGGAAAGGUCAUUCUAGGCUCUUUAUCAGAUGUCUCAUUCCAUCCUUUACCUUGUGCCAUGCAGGAUUCCUAGAUCGAUUGAAUGAUCAAUUCGAACUUUAGGAACGUAGUCCCUUUGGCCACACAGGAAAAGGUUCAUUGUUUUAUUUGAAGUAGUGAAACUAAUCAACCAAGCGAAGCAAAAGAAAUACAAGUAGUGAUUAUUAUUAAAAGAUUGGAAUGCUAUUAAGCAUAACAAGACGCUAGCUCACAUUGGCAUCUUUCAACCUUUCGGAUAACUUCUCUCCACACUAACCAAGAAGAGCAGGGCGGUUUUACUACCAUUAGCGAGUAGUUCCCUCUCCAUUUUGCAAUACAAAUAUAAGAUCACUAUUAUUAUGAGUGGUGAAAGCGAAAGCAAUAGUCACGUACUGGAAUCCCAGUAAAGAAGAGUGAUUUUCGUCAGAAAGAAUCCUUCGCGAUGGAAAUGCCCUCGCCUACUUGACUAAACUAAGGACCUCAACGGUAUAAUGUAGAUUUUCU